rnacentral:rRNA from 1 species
GAUGAACGCUGGCGGCGUGCUUAACACAUGCAAGUCGAGCGAAGCGUUUAAGAUGAUCUCUUCGGAUUGAGUCUUAUAUGACUGAGCGGCGGACGGGUGAGUAACGCGUGGGUAACCUGCCUCAUACAGGGGGAUAACAGUUAGAAAUGACUGCUAAUACCGCAUAAGCGCACAGGGCUGCAUGGCCUGGUGUGAAAAACUCCGGUGGUAUGAGAUGGACCCGCGUCUGAUUAGCUAGUUGGAGGGGGUAACGCCCACCAAGGCGACGAUCAGUAGCCGGCCUGAGAGGGUGAACGGCCACAUUGGGGACUGGAGACACGGGCCCAGACUCCUACGGGAG